GAUGAAGAACGUAGCGAAAUGCGAUACGUAAUGUGAAUUGCAGAAUUCAGUGAAUCAUCGAAUCUUUGAACGCAUAUUGCGCUCUCUGGUAUUCCGGAGAGCAUGCUUGUUUGAGUAUCAGUAAACACCUCAACUUCCAUAUCUUUUUUGAAAUGGGAGUUGGACUUGAGUGAUCCCAACGCUUUUCCUCACCGAAAAGUGGCGGGUUACUUGAAAUGCAGGUGCAGCUGGACUUUUCUCUGAGCUAUGAGCAUAUCUAUUUAGUCUGCCUAAAAAACAGAUUAUUACCUUUGCUGCAGCUAACAUAAAGGAGAUUAGUUCUUGUGCUGACUGAUGCAGGAUUCACAAAGACGGCUUCGGCCGACUUUGUAAACUCGAUCUCAAAUCAAGUAAGACUACCCGCUGAACUUAAGCAUAUCAAUAAGCGGAGGA
rnacentral:misc_RNA from 1 species